rnacentral:rRNA from 1 species
AUUCCAGCUCCAAUAGCGUAUAUUAAAGUUGUUGCAGUUAAAAAGCUCGUAGUUGGAUUUCUGGUGAGUUCGUUUGGCCGGCCGUAAAGGUCUGUGCCGAAAUGUUAUUCGCCAUCCUUGGUGUAAUCUUGUCCGCCAUUAAGUUGUGUGGGCUUGAGGAUGCCAUCGUUUACUGUGAAAAAAUUAGAGUGUUCAAAGCAGGCUUAUGCCGUUGAAUACAUUAGCAUGGAAUAAUAAGAUAGGACCCAGGUACUAUUUUGUUGGUUUGCGUACCUAGGUAAUGAUUAAUAGGGACAGUUGGGGGUAUUUGUAUUCCGUUGUCAGAGGUGAAAUUCUUGGAUUUACGGAAGACAAACUACUGCGAAAGCAUUUACCAAGGAUGUUUUCAUUA